CUAAGAAUCACAGGGUGGUUCUCCUUUGGCACGAAGGCUUGCGUAGCUACGCAUGAAAAUGCCGCGAGUUAAUGCUUGUGCUCUUCUUGCCAAAGGAGAAUUGCCCUGCCAUUCACCU
rnacentral:pre_miRNA from 1 species